GUGCUCACACUGGCAGUCCAUAUACUAAAAUUGGAACAAUAAAGGGAAGAUUAGCAAGUCCCCUGUGCAGGAUGACAGAGAAAUUCAUGAAAUGUUCCAUAUUAAA
ensembl:snRNA U6 U6 spliceosomal RNA